rnacentral:rRNA from 1 species
GGGACACGUGGUAUCCUGUCUGAAUAUGGGGGGACCAUCCUCCAAGGCUAAAUACUCCUGACUGACCGAUAGUGAACCAGUACCGUGAGGGAAAGGCGAAAAGAACCCCGGCGAGGGGAGUGAAAAAGAACCUGAAACCGUGUACGUACAAGCAGUGGGAGCCUCUUAAUGGGGUGACUGCGUACCUUUUGUAUAAUGGGUCAGCGACUUAUAUUCUGUAGCAAGGUUAACCGAAUAGGGGAGCCGAAGGGAAACCGAGUCUUAACUGGGCGUUAAGUUGCAGGGUAUAGACCCGAAACCCGGUGAUCUAGCCAUGGGCAGGUUGAAGGUUGGGUAACACUAACUGGAGGACCGAACCGACUAAUGUUGAAAAAUUAGCGGAUGACUUGUGGCUGGGGGUGAAAGGCCAAUCAAACCGGGAGAUAGCUGGUUCUCCCCGAAAGCUAUUUAGGUAGCGCCUCGUGAAUUCAUCUCCGGGGGUAGAGCACUGUUUCGGCAAGGGGGUCAUCCCGACUUACCAACCCGAUGCAAACUGCGAAUACCGGAGAAUGUUAUCACGGGAGACACACGGCGGGUGCUAACGUCCGUCGUGAAGAGGGAAACAACCCAGACCGCCAGCUAAGGUCCCAAAGUCAUGGUUAAGUGGGAAACGAUGUGGGAAGGCCCAGACAGCCAGGAUGUUGGCUUAGAAGCAGCCAUCAUUUAAAGAAAGCGUAAUAGCUCACUGGUCGAGUCGGCCUGCGCGGAAGAUGUAACGGGGCUAAACCAUGCACCGAAGCUGCGGCAGCGACACUAUGUGUUGUUGGGUAGGGGAGCGUUCUGUAAGCCUGUGAAGGUGGCCUGUGAGGGUUGCUGGAGGUAUCAGAAGUGCGAAUGCUGACAUAAGUAACGAUAAAGCGGGUGAAAAGCCCGCUCGCCGGAAGACCAAGGGUUCCUGUCCAACGUUAAUCGGGGCAGGGUGAGUCGACCCCUAAGGCGAGGCCGAAAGG